rnacentral:misc_RNA from 1 species
AGGACCGGAAAGUAAGUUGUUUGACAAGUUCAUAGAGUUUGGUAACAAUUCACCUAGGCUCUCAGGGAUCUUUCCUAUCAAAAGAUUACUAGACAGAUCAAGAUAGUUGAGAGAUUUAAGCGAAGAAAGUGACUCGGGGAUUGAAGAAUUGAACUUGUUACCUUGCAAGAGUAACAAAUUGAGGCUUUUUAAACCACCAAUUUCAGAAGGAAUUGGACCAUACAAAAGGUUAUUGCUAAGAUCAAGCUUCACAAGAUUAGAAGAUGUAGAUAUUUCAUAAGGAAGCAAACCUGAA